rnacentral:tRNA from 1 species
GGAGGGGUGGCAGAGUGGUUGAAUGCAGCGGUCUUGAAAACCGCCGGGCCGAAAGGUCUCGCGGGUUCGAAUCCCGCCCCCUCCGCCA